rnacentral:rRNA from 1 species
UAAGGAAUAUUGGACAAUGGAGGCAACUCUGAUCCAGCCAUGCCGCGUGAAGGAAUAAGGCCCUAUGGGUUGUAAACUUCUUUUAGACGGGACAAAACCCCUUUACGUGUAAAGGGUUGAUGGUACUGUCAGAAUAAGCAGCGGCUAACUUCGUGCCAGCAGCCGCGGUAAUACGAAGGAUGCAAGCGUUAUCCGGAAUUAUUGGGUUUAAAGGGUGCGUAGGCGGACUAAUAAGUCAGUGGUGAAAGCCUGCAGCUUAACUGCAGAAUUGCCAUUGAUACUGUUAGUCUUGAGUACAGUUGAGGUAGGCGGAAUGUGUCAUGUAGCGGUGAAAUGCUUAGAUAUGACACAGAACACCGAUUGCGAAGGCAGCUUGCUAAGCUGUAACUGACGCUGAGGCACGAAAGCGUGGGGAGCAAACA